GUGACAUUUCUAUCGGUGAACUCGUGUUCAUUCAGUAAGUAGCUGAAGAAGGACGAUGGUGUGUCAGUAGCAGGUACAAUGACGAAGACAAAACGAAGAAAAGGAAAGUCUUGAGAGCAAGAGACAUUCCUACAGCAUUGUGAGUGUUCCAACCCAUGCAUAUGUAAUCUGCCUGUCUGUUCACAUGUCAUCUUCAUUUACAUGAUGACACAGAUUAAAUAGAACUUAUUCCACUGGAAAUUUCGGGAGUCAUGCAGCAAGCAAUGAGUCCAGUGCCAUCUCCUGCAGUAGUUGGACCUUCAAGCAAUUUCAGCACGACAUCUGUUUUAUCUAUUCCAUCUCAGUGGUUAUUGAAAACCUCCAGGUCAUAAUGCAGUAAUUCGGUCCAAAAUGUGCUUCCGUGGUGUAGUCGAAAGAAGUCCCUAACAAAUAAAUCCGAAUUUUUCCAUUUUUCGCGCAUAUGCGUGUAAAUCAGGGGCCAAAUGGGCAUUAUCUCACUUGUGGGAUGAAUUCUUAGACUACAUAAAAUAGGACACUUUUCGUGCUCAUAUUCGCAUGUUUUCGAGUUGUUUACUUGAAAACAAAAGUAGGGUGUUUAUUCUGCGGACCGCUUUCUGAAAUGCGGCAAAAUGAGGGUACCUGACUUCAGUUGACUUGCAUUUCACUGCAUACUAUUCAACACCCCUUUUUCUUUUCGUUUUCUUGAAGCAAAUGUAUGGAUAUCUUGUGGAAAAUAGGUCUACGACGGAGUGAAAAUCUCGAAACUGUAACAAAAUUGUUCUGAAGUAGCUGAAUUUUAUAUGAAACAAAGAACAAUUUCUUUUAUUGGUAUAAAGCCUCCAGAACUGCAUGGUCAAAGAGGUAGACAUGAAGAGAAAAAGGAUUGUAUGACUAUCUAUGGACUCCAUGAUAGAUACCUAUGGAGGCAGGCGAACUGACACAGAAACUCUGCAACUGACUGGGACACUGAUGGCAUUGUAUCCGAUAUUGAGGGAUAAUACAUACAAUGGAAUCUGGGAGAAAAAUGUAAUUUGGCACUUAGAUCAGAUAGAAAAUAAUGAUCAAGGAAAAUAAGCAGAGGAAGUGGGGACAGAUGGUGUGGAAAAAAGAAAUAUCACUCAAUUAAGACCAGUAAUUCGGCAUCUGUUAGGCAGUUGCCGAGGCUCACCUUGGAGGAAUGAGUCCUGAACUUACCAGAUAUGUCAGAGAAAAGCAGAUCUCAGAAGCUGCGGAAGAUAUACCCAUUAUUCAUAAAACCAGAAUUUAUUGACGACACUGGGUGGAAUGUAGCUCAGGAGCAUAAAGGCCUAGCAGACAGUACUAGGAAAAUGAGAGACAAAAUGGCAUUCCUUUUGUUCAUCAAGCACAAAGUGUUGCUGAAGUGCUCCCCAGCUGGCUGAGCUGAGGUCAUACUGUCAUGGAGUCGUACUGUUUGGUGGAUGAGGCAUAUCUAUAAGUAACCUGAAUCGAUCCUUGCUGUUCAACAGAAGUUGCAAGAACUUAUCCAUGACAAAACUAAACAAAGCAAUGAAGUCAUACCAGUCAUUCAUAGAUGCUGUGCCAGAGGAAAAUAUAUUCUAGAACCAGAUUUUUGCUAUCUUCCCAGUAAGUGUCACAGAAAUAAACAUGUUGUGACAGGACUUUAGUGGUUCAAUAUUGAAAUGAAAAUGACAAAAGAAUAUUUAAAAAAAUGAGGAAAUCAUUUUAUGCUACUACAUGCUGAGAAUAGAAAACGAAAAGGCCAACUUUUUAGCUCACCUGUCACAGUGACAGGGCGAGCUUUUGUGAUUGCCCAUCGUCCGUCCAUCCGUCCAGUUAGCUCUGUUCAGUUUUAUUUCCGAGAGUAUACAUACAUAGCUCUGUUCAGUUUUAUUUCCAAGAGUAAACAUGUAGCUCUGUUCAGUUUUAUUUUUGAGAGUAUACAUAUAGCUCUGUUCAGU